AUCGUUUGAUUUGUCGUCCCUCUAGUGAUCUUGCCGAGCCCGCGAGUAAUUCCCUUUGCCACGAUCCUAUGGUCCGUGCGACACAUAGCCUGAAGAAUCUCAUGCAAGUGUCAGAAUGCCAAAUGACAUGAUGUGGUAGGUAUGACAAAAGCGUUCGACAUAGUCGCGGUAUACUCGGGCGUAAAAACUAUACACAGCCGAUAUACAGCCGGAUACAGCCGAGCUUAUGUAAAAGGCUUUCUAACAUCGUCAGCAGAGAAUUGGUAGAAGACGCCACCAUCGGAUAUUAUUAUUGUUGUGAGGUCCAAGACGAAAACAUGAAACAGUGACCGACCAACGCGAGGGCCUUGAGGUUUUCGAACCUGCAAGCAAGUUCGUGCCCCUCUAACCUGUCAAAUUAUAUCUUCCAGAAGCGCGACUGUAAUCGAGGACUUUCUUUUGCGCGGCGUCACACAUUUCUCUUCCGCGUCUAGAACCACAUGUACCCUUCCUUUUUUCCUACUUCUAUAUACAGAACAGAAGCUGAGCAGCUUCCUUCUGUCCUGAUUCAUCACAUCUGAAACGUGAUAUGGCACAAUGUCCGCUGGAAGAGUUCAUUGGCAGUUCGUAAAUUGUCCAGCCCCUGGACGCCCUCACCCAUACCCUCUAUCCAUAACUAAACUCUAUCUACAUGUACUAAGUGCUACGGCCAUUUGUAUUAAUACCUUGAACGGUUUCAAAAUUCAA